GGGUUUGUAGCUCAGUGGCAGAGCACUAGUCUAGCAUAUGAAAAGCCCUUGGUUCCAUUCCAAGCAUCUCA
rnacentral:tRNA from 1 species